UGGGUGUUUUUUAAUUUUUGAAAAUGUGUGAUACAACAUUAAAUCAUGUUUAAAUUUAAACCCUUCCGCCAAAACAAUUCUUGAAGUGUAUGUUUGCAUAUGACAGGAAUCAGGCUAUUUUUACUGACUGUUUUUCUUUUAAAGUUACAAAACAUUUCUUGGUUUCAUUAGAGAUUUUGAGCUUUGAUUAUUCAAGCAGUUUUUUUGUAAAAUAAAGAGAGAAGUGCUGUUCAAAUCACAAAUCAGAUUCGAAAAUACUUCCAUGUCUUCGAGAAAAAGCUCAAAAAUGG
rnacentral:misc_RNA from 1 species